UACGGAAGGCAGCAGUGGGGAAUAUUGCACAAUGGGCGAAAGCCUGAUGCAGCUAUGCCGCGUGUAUGAAGAAGGCCUUAGGGUUGUAAAGUACUUUCAUCGGGGAGGAAAAAACAAAACUAAUAAUUUUAUUUCUUGACGUUACCCGAAAAAGAAGCACCGGCUAACUCCGUGCCAGCAGCCGCGGUAAUACGGAGGGUGCUAGCGUUAAUCAGAAUUACUGGGCGUAAAGAGCACGUAGGUGGUUUUUUUAAAGUCAGAUGUGAAAUCCCUGGGCUUUAACCUAGGAACUGCAUUUUGAAACUGAAAUACUAGAGUAUCGUAGAGGGAGGUAGAAUUCUAGGUGUAGCGGUGAAAUGCGUAGAUAUCUGGAGGAAUACCUGUGGCGAAAGCGGCCUCCUAAACGAAUACUGACACUGAGGGUGCGAAAGCGU
rnacentral:rRNA from 1 species